GAUUGUGUUACUACCCGGAAGUUGCCAUAUGUACCUUAUAUGAUAGAAUACAAAGAGAGAUAACUCAAGUUUUCGAACAAGUCUAUACUCAAUGUCAAUGGCCGUAAGGGCCGAUCAUAGGUCUAAAUCUUGCAGCCCUUCACUGGCAAUGAUGAUGUCUCCAAAUGAGUGAAAAAUUCUUGAGAGGGACGUUAAACAAUAUACAUGUACAAUUAAUCAAACAACCAAUCUUUGACUUGAUAGAGGAUUAUGGAACUGACUGUGAGGAAAACUUUAAGAGAGUUACUGGCUGUCUGAUAAACGCUGUUAAUGGAAUGAAGUUCAUCCUUGACAGUGACGCAUAAAGUAAGCCACUCAUCUAAAGGAGAGAUUUGGCACCAUAACUUCCGUAUAUUAUAAUUUACAGUUUGUUAAGGUUUUCAGACGUCUGAUUUUCAACACUUUAGACCUGAUUUGUAAUUCAUUUGGUGGAUGGACCUUAUAAUGAAUUGAGAUGAAACUUUCCGAAAAAUUCCUCAUGUUAAAGGAAUUGUUGGAUUCUUAGGCAAGGACUAUGGUUCCAUCGAAAAAUUACACGCUUCCUCAUACAAUAGAGAUCUUUCUCCAUCUCUUUCUCCAAGUUCCUGAAUUAAAUGGCUGCCAAUAUUCCCUGAUAGAUGACAGGAAUACAUGUACAUCCAGGGACCGAAAAAAUAAUUUUGGUUUUUAUUUGUAUUAAUAAAUGUUUUGCAAAGUAAGAAACCUGUGUACUAAUUAUUCAAACUUCUUCCUUAUUAGUGAUCUUCUAAACAUGUUAUUUAUAUAUACAACGAUGGUGAAGCAUCAGUGAAAGCAGGAAUAGUAGACGAGGUGUAGUUCCAUCCACAUUGUAAAAUGAGGAGGGCCAGUUCCACCCAAGGAAAAUUAUGACUGAUAACGAUAAGCCUGUGAACCUUUACUACCACCCAAGAGUUAAGGAAUGAAUUCAUAUUUUUUUUUAGUUGGGUAAAGGUAUACCAUAAGGAAUAAGACGGAAAACUGCAUCACUGCGCGUAUACCUCCAUCCAACGAAAACAGUAAUAUUUUCCAUAUUAUCUAAACAUUUUUAGACAUUGUGUUUAAAUAAUAAAAUAUUAUAGGCAUUCUUCACAACCUGAGUGUCCGGGUAGCUCAAAAGUAGCGCUCUCCCUUCUCAUCGCUGCAGUCCAAAUCCAAACCUAGUGAUCGGCAGUUGUUGUAUGUGAGAGGAUAUGGUGGUCUUUCGAUCGGACACCUCCGGGUACCUGUUUUCUCCCACAUAAUGACUCCCUAGA